GGUCGUCAACGACCCGUCUUGAAACACGGACCAAGGAGUCGAACAUUGGUGCGAGUGUUUGGGUGUUAAACCCUCACGCGUAAUGAAAGUGAACGGAGGUGAGAGCCUGUACGGGUGCAUCAUCGACCGAUCCUGAUGUCUUCGGAUGGAUUUGAGUAAGAGCAUCACUGUUCGGACCCGAAAGAUGGUGAACUAUGCGUGGAUAGGGUGAAGCCAGAGGAAACUCUGGUGGAGGCUCGCAGCGGUUCUGACGUGCAAAUCGAUCGUCAAAUCUGCGCAUGGGGGCGAAAGACUUAUCGAACCAUCUAGUAGCUGGUUACCGCCGAAGUUUCCCUCAGGAUAGCAGUGUUGUCUUCAGUUUUAUGAGGUAAAGCGAAUGAUUAGGGACUCGGGGGCGCUAUAUUGCCUUCAUCCAUUCUCAAACUUUAAAUAUGUAAGAAGCCUUUGUUGCUUAGUUGAACGUAGGCAUUCGAAUGUACCAACACUAGUGGGCCAUUUUUGGUAAGCAGAACUGGCGAUGCGGGAUGAACCGAACGCGGGGUUAAGGUGCCAGAGUGGACGCUCAUCAGACACCACAAAAGGUGUUAAUACAUCCUGACAGCAGGACGGUGGCCAUGGAAGUCGGAAUCCGCUAAGGACUGUGUAACAACUCACCUGCCGAAUGUAUUAGCCCUGAAAAUGGAUGGCGCUCAAGCGUCUCACCCAUACCUCGCCCUUAGGGUAGAAACGAUGCCCUAAGGAGUAGGCGGCCGUGGAGGUUAGUGACGAAGCCUAGGGCGGAGCCCG
rnacentral:rRNA from 1 species